AACGAACGCUGGCGGCAUGCCUAACACAUGCAAGUCGAACGAGACCUUCGGGUCUAUUUGCGCACGUGUGCGUAACGCGUGGGAACCUGCCCUUAGGUUCGGAAUAACUCCCCGAAAGGGGUGCUAAUACCGGAUAAUGUCUUCGGACCAAAGAUUUAUCGCUUUUGGAUGGGCCCGCGUUGGAUUAGCUAGUUGGUAGGGUAAAAGCCUACCAAGGCGACGAUCCAUAGCUGGUCUGAGAGGAUGAUCAGCCACACUGGGAAUGAGACACGGCCCAGACUACUACGGGAGGCAGCAGUGGGGAAUAUUGGACAAUGGGCGAAAGCCUGAUACAGCAAUGCCGCGUGAGUGAUGAAGGCCUUAGGGUUGUAAAGCUCUUUUACCCGGGAUGAUAAUGACAGUACCGGGAGAAUAAGCUCCGGCUAACUACGUG
rnacentral:rRNA from 1 species